AGACAUUUAACUUUUGCAUGAAGACCGUCCCAACCAAUGGCAUUUUAUUGAUAAAACUGGGCUGUGUGAUUGGUGGAUCUAUUCUCACCAACACAGUGAGAAGAGGUUUAAAAAGUGUCCCAGCACAGCAUUCACUGCAAGCUGAAUGACAGCAAUGGCUCACCUGAAGUUCCUCCCACUCCUCCUGUGGGUUGGUUUCACGGUGUGCACAGAGGUGGAUUUGCACAAGAGAA